rnacentral:rRNA from 1 species
UAAGCAUAUAAUUAAGCGGAGGAAAAGAAACUAACCAGGAUUCCCUCAGUAAGGGCGACUGAAGCGGGAAGUGCUCAGGAUGUGAAUCUGCGCCUUGUUGCGCCGAAUUGUGGUCUGUCGACUGUGGUAUUACUGGCCGGGCUAAGUCCCUUGGAACAGGGCGGCUGAGAGGGUGAGACCCCCGUUCGCCUGGCUAGAUGAACUGCAAGUCAACGAGUCGAGUUGUUUGGGAUUGCAGCUCAAAGUGGGUGGUAAAUUCCAUCUAAAGCUAAAUAUUGGUGGGAGACCGAUAGCGUACAAGUACCGUGAGGGAAAGAUGCAAAGAACUUUGAAAAGAGAGUUAAAGAGUACCUGAAAUUGCUGAAAGGGAAGCGAAGGAAACCAGUGUCGGCUCGGUCAUACUUCCCUGCCCGCUUGCGGGUUGGGCGCUGUGUCCGGCCUCGGUUGUUCUUGGUUGGUUCCGCUGGAAGAGCGCGGUGAGAGUUGAUCUCCGUUGCUAGCAGUGGUUCUGACUGAGGAGGACGAAAUGGUUUUCUUUACCCCGUCUUGAAACACGGACCAAGGAG